rnacentral:rRNA from 1 species
UACGUAGGGUCCGAGCGUUGUCCGGAAUUACUGGGCGUAAAGAGCUCGUAGGUGGUUUGUCGCGUUGUUCGUGAAAACUCACAGCUUAACUGUGGGCGUGCGGGCGAUACGGGCAGACUGGAGUACUGCAGGGGAGACUGGAAUUCCUGGUGUAGCGGUGGAAUGCGCAGAUAUCAGGAGGAACACCGGUGGCGAAGGCGGGGUCUCUGGGCA